UCAGGUCUAUGUCUCCGAGCCGUUUCACCUGGCGGAUUCUUCCUACGGUGCACGGCCUAUGGGUUCGGUUGGAAACGGCCGGGCCUCCCACGCUUGGAAAGGAGAAUCAGCCACCCUUUU
rnacentral:ncRNA from 2 species